rnacentral:rRNA from 1 species
GAUGAACGCUGGCGGCGUGCCUAAUACAUGCAAGUCGAGCGAACGGACGAGAAGCUUGCUUCUCUGAUGUUAGCGGCGGACGGGUGAGUAACACGUGGAUAACCUACCUAUAAGACUGGGAUAACUUCGGGAAACCGGAGCUAAUACCGGAUAAUAUUUUGAACCGCAUGGUUCAAAAGUGAAAGACGGUCUUGCUGUCACUUAUAGAUGGAUCCGCGCUGCAUUAGCUAGUUGGUAAGGUAACGGCUUACCAAGGCAACGAUGCAUAGCCGACCUGAGAGGGUGAUCGGCCACACUGGAACUGAGACACGGUCCAGACCCCUACGGGAGGCAGCAGUAGGGAAUCUUCCGCAAUGGGCGAAAGCCUGACGGAGCAACGCCGCGUGAGUGAUGAAGGUCUUCGGAUCGUAAAACUCUGUUAUUAGGGAAGAACAUAUGUGUAAGUAACUGUGCACAUCUUGACGGUACCUAAUCAGAAAGCCACGGCUAACUACGUGCCAGCAGCCGCGGUAAUACGUAGGUGGCAAGCGUUAUCCGGAAUUAUUGGGCGUAAAGCGCGCGUAGGCGGUUUUUUAAGUCUGAUGUGAAAGCCCACGGCUCAACCGUGGAGGGUCAUUGGAAACUGGAAAACUUGAGUGCAGAAGAGGAAAGUGGAAUUCCAUGUGUAGCGGUGAAAUGCGCAGAGAUAUGGAGGAACACCAGUGGCGAAGGCGACUUUCUGGUCUGUAACUGACGCUGAUGUGCGAAAGCGUGGGGAUCAAACAGGAUUAGAUACCCUGGUAGUCCACGCCGUAAACGAUGAGUGCUAAGUGUUAGGGGGUUUCCGCCCCUUAGUGCUGCAGCUAACGCAUUAAGCACUCCGCCUGGGGAGUACGACCGCAAGGUUGAAACUCAAAGGAAUUGACGGGGACCCGCACAAGCGGUGGAGCAUGUGGUUUAAUUCGAAGCAACGCGAAGAACCUUACCAAAUCUUGACAUCCUUUGACAACUCUAGAGAUAGAGCCUUCCCCUUCGGGGGACAAAGUGACAGGUGGUGCAUGGUUGUCGUCAGCUCGUGUCGUGAGAUGUUGGGUUAAGUCCCGCAACGAGCGCAACCCUUAAGCUUAGUUGCCAUCAUUAAGUUGGGCACUCUAAGUUGACUGCCGGUGACAAACCGGAGGAAGGUGGGGAUGACGUCAAAUCAUCAUGCCCCUUAUGAUUUGGGCUACACACGUGCUACAAUGGACAAUACAAAGGGCAGCGAAACCGCGAGGUCAAGCAAAUCCCAUAAAGUUGUUCUCAGUUCGGAUUGUAGUCUGCAACUCGACUACAUGAAGCUGGAAUCGCUAGUAAUCGUAGAUCAGCAUGCUACGGUGAAUACGUUCCCGGGUCU